rnacentral:rRNA from 1 species
AUUGAACGCUGGCGGCAUGCCUUACACAUGCAAGUCGAACGGCAGCACGGGUGCUUGCACCUGGAGGCGAGUGGCGAACGGGUGAGUAAUACAUCGGAACAUGUCCUGUAGUGGGGGAUAGCCCGGCGAAAGCCGGAUUAAUACCGCAUACGAUCUACGGAUGAAAGCGGGGGACCUUCGGGCCUCGCGCUAAAGGGUUGGCCGAUGGCUGAUUAGCUAGUUGGUGGGGUAAAGGCCUACCAAGGCGACGAUCAGUAGCUGGUCUGAGAGGACGACCAGCCACACUGGGACUGAGACACGGCCCAGACUCCUACGGGAGGCAGCAGUGGGGAAUUUGGGACAAUGGGCGAAAGCCUGAUCCAGCAAUGCCGCGUGUGUGAAGAAGGCCUUCGGGUUGUAAAGCACUUUUGUCCGGAAAGAAAUCCUUGGCCCUAAUACGGUCGGGGGAUGACGGUACCGGAAGAAUAAGCACCGGCUAACUACUG